UUUAUAUCCAUAGGUCUCGACCAAAUCUUGUGCCAGCAGUCGCGGUAAGACAAGGGAGACGAGUGUUAUUCAUCUUUAACAGGUAUAUAGGGUACCUAGACGGUGUGCAAUGGCUUAAAUAAGUACCUGGUACACUUGAGUUUGAUAUGUGAGAGGAAUAUGUCGGAAUUGUUGGAGGAAAGAUGAAAUUUGUUAAUACCAAUAGGACUGAUAACGGCGAAGGGAAACCUCUAUGUACAUGUACUUGCUAUUUCUAUUUGUUUAUUUUUUUUUCAAUAGAAAAAAAAAGAAACUAAAAAAAAGAAACUAAAAAAAAGAAACUAAAAAAAAGAAUUUUUUUUUUGUGAAGGAAUAUAUGAAAUAUUAA
rnacentral:rRNA from 1 species